rnacentral:rRNA from 1 species
UACUCUUUAGCCUGCUAAGGAGGAAAGUGGCGCACGGGUGCGUAACGCGUAUGCAACCUACCUUAAUCAGGGGGAUAGCCCGAAGAAAUUCGGAUUAACACCGCAUAAAAUCACAGCACAGCAUUGUGCAAUGAUCAAAUAUUUAUAGGAUUAAGAUGGGCAUGCGUGACAUUAGUUAGUUGGCGGGGUAACGGCCCACCAAGACCACGAUGUCUAGGGAUCUGAGAGGAUGACCCCCCACACUGGUACUGAGACACGGACCAGACUCC